AAAGGGCGCGUAGGCGGUUGUGUGAGUGUGAUGUGAAAGCCCCGGGCUUAACCUGGGAAGUGCAUCGCAAACGACAUAACUGGAGUAUAAGAGAGGGUGGCGGAAUUUCCGGUGUAGCGGUGAAAUGCGUAGAGAUCGGAAGGAACGUCAAUGGCGAAGGCAGCCACCUGGCUUAAUACUGACGCUGAGGCGCGAAAGCGUGGGGAUCGAACAGGAUUAGAUACCCUUGU
rnacentral:rRNA from 1 species